AUAUUGGUCAAUGGGCGAGAGCCUGAACCAGCCAAGUAGCGUGAAGGAUGAAGGCUUAUGGGUCGUAAACUUCUUUUAUAUGGGAAUAAGUUUUCCACGUGUGGAAUUUUGUAUGUACCAUAUGAAUAAGGAUCGGCUAACUCCGUGCCAGCAGCCGCGGUAAUACGGAGGAUCCGAGCGUUAUCCGGAUUUAUUGGGUUUAAAGGGAGCGUAGAUGGAUGUUUAAGUCAGUUGUGAAAGUUUGCGGCUCAACCGUAAAAUUGCAGUUGAUACUGGAUAUCUUGAGUGCAGUUGAGGCAGGCGGAAUUCGUGGUGUAGCGGUGAAAUGCU
rnacentral:rRNA from 1 species